rnacentral:rRNA from 1 species
UGAGCUUGAUCCUGGCUCAGGACGAACGCUGGCGGCGUGCCUAAUACAUGCAAGUCGAACGCUUCUUUCCUCCCGAGUGCUUGCACUCAAUUGGAAAGAGGAGUGGCGGACGGGUGAGUAACACGUGGGUAACCUACCCAUCAGAGGGGGAUAACACUUGGAAACAGGUGCUAAUACCGCAUAACAGUUUAUGCCGCAUGGCAUAAGAGUGAAAGGCGCUUUCGGGUGUCGCUGAUGGAUGGACCCGCGGUGCAUUAGCUAGUUGGUGAGGUAACGGCUCACCAAGGCCACGAUGCAUAGCCGACCUGAGAGGGUGAUCGGCCACACUGGGACUGAGACACGGCCCAGACUCCUACGGGAGGCAGCAGUAGGGAAUCUUCGGCAAUGGACGAAAGUCUGACCGAGCAACGCCGCGUGAGUGAAGAAGGUUUUCGGAUCGUAAAACUCUGUUGUUAGAGAAGAACAAGGACGUUAGUAACUGAACGUCCCCUGACGGUAUCUAACCCGAAGCACCG